CGGGGGUGCCCGAGCCAGGACAAAGGGGCGGGACUUAAGAUCCCGUGGCGUAGGCCUGCGCGGGUUCGAAUCCCGCCCCCCG
rnacentral:tRNA from 1 species